UGGGGAAUAUUGGACAAUGGGCCACAAGCCUGAUCCAGCAAUUCUGUGUGCACGAUGAAGGUCUUCGGAUUGUAAAGUGCUUUCAGUUGGGAAGAAGAAAGUGACGGUACCAACAGAAGAAGCGACGGCUAAAUACGUGCCAGCAGCCGCGGUAAUACGUAUGUCGCAAGCGUUAUCCGGAUUUAUUGGGCGUAAAGCGCGUCUAGGCGGAAAGAUAAGUCUGAUGUGAAAAUGCGGGGCUCAACUCCGUAUUGCGUUGGAAACUGUCUUUCUAGAGUACUGGAGAGGUGGGCGGAACUACAAGUGUAGAGGUGAAAUUCGUAGAUAUUUGUAGGAAUGCCGAUGGAGAAGUCAGCUCACUGGACAGAUACUGACGCUGAAGCGCGAAAGCGUGGGGAGCAAACAGG
rnacentral:rRNA from 1 species